UUUUUUUUUUAGGACUAGACCCCAGCUAUAUUUAACUCCUAAGUUAUUUGGUUCAAACAAAGGGAUUGGUGUGGCUAAACAUUAGGUACCUUUUGAUAUUCUAAAAUCUCCGGGGGGCUGGCAUCUAGAUGCUGGGGUGGGGAGGUCUCGACAUCGCUGGGCUGAUUGACUUUUUAAAACCCUACAGCAUCUGUUUUAGACCCUAAAACAUAAAUUAUGUUUUGACAUGUUGUUAAUGAUUCGUAAGUGGCCGUAAGACAAAGACACACUUUUUUGUUUGGGGGUCGGCCUCUGUUUUGACGUAUAUUGUAAAGAGAGAGAGAGAGAGAGCCUUGAGCGCAGACGCCUGGCCAUUUCUGAACACACACCCCGCCCCGUUUUCUUUGUUUUGAAACACACACAUACGCAUACACUCCAGCACACGCACGCACACACACACGCGCGCACAUGGCUUUUUCUGCAAGUUUUUUUCUCCGGGGGCAUGCUUGGUGAUAGAAGUUAAGGACUUAUUCCUAUCGUUAGAAGAUAUAGGUCCUGGUUAGCCCCUGACCAUUAUCCGAUCGCUAAGACGCUUGCACACUCCCUCAAAGCUCCGUAAGUUUUCCCUCCAUGGGUAGAUAAUCCGUCCGUCAUGUAAAUCCUGGGGUAUGCACCCAGCUUUAAUGAAUAAGAUGGGUAGAAAAGGAAUCUGUUUAAGUCAUAAGUAAAGGCCUUUCAGAAAGAGGCUGUCAUGAUUGACUGUGGCCCAUAUUUAACACGUAUUGCAUGUUACCUAAGACUAUUGUUGUACAUUGAAUAUCCACUAGCAGAUUUGUGUAGCAUGCAUCUCCACUAUAUCGGUCAUGUUCCUGUGGUCUUUUUAAAAGUCAAUAAACAUGUGUGUAAAAUGUACACUUUUGUUUCACUGUAGAUUGUUUAAGCCCACCUAGAAACACCUGAUUUAUCCCACAGCAUCAAUGAAUAAGCUGCGUAUAAAAUUAUUCUGUUUAAGUCAUAAGUAAAGGCCUUUCAUAAAGAGGCUGUCAUGAUUGACUGUGGCCCAUAUUUAACACGUAUUGCUUGUUACAGAAGACCCCUGUUGUACAUUGAAUAUCCAAUAGCCGAUUUUUGGAGCAUCUCCACUAUAUCUGUCAUGUUACUGUGGUCUUUUUAAAAGUCAAUAAACAUGUGUGUAAAAUGUACACUUUUGUUUCACUGUAGAUUGUUUAAGCCCACCUAGAAACACCUGAUUUAUCCCACAGCAUCAAUGAAUAAGCUGCGUAUAAAAUUAUUCUGUUUAAGUCAUAAGUAAAGGCCUUUCAUAAAGAGGCUGUCAUGAUUGACUGUGGCCCAUAUUUAACACGUAUUGCUUGUUACAGAAGACCCCUGUUGUACAUUGAAUAGCCAUCGUAGCGGUUGUCAAUAGAGUUUGCCCCCACCCCUAACUAGAGAAAGUACGGUAUGAUUUCACAUAGCACCGGGUUGACGUUUUUUUUUCGCGCUAAAAAUCCUCCCAAAGGAAUCUUUGACUCCUAAAGUAUUUGGUUCAAACACAUGGGAUUGGGUGUGUCUAAACAUUAGAUACCUUUUGAUAUUCUAAAAUCUCCGGGGGGCUAGCAUCUAGAUGCUGGGGUGGGGAGGUCUCGACAUCGCUGGGCUGAAUGACUUUUAGCCCACCUAAAAAAUAGUUUUUGAAAGGACUUUGUGUUUAGGAGGCUUAAGACCCAAUAUUAUUGUUGAGGGGGUAGGCAUCUGUUUUGCAGGAUAGUGUAAACCUUGGUUUCAAACGACCCACCAGGCAUAGAGAGAGAGAGAGAGAGAGCCUUGAGCGCAGAUGCAAGGGUAUUUUUUUAACAAACACCCCGCCCCCUUUUUCUGUUUUUGAAACACACACACACACACAGCCACUACAGAAAACUCCCUCACGCACAUACGCGCGCACAUGGCUUUUUUCCGCAAGUUUUUUUCUCAGGGACAGACUGCGCUAAGAGUGAACAAACGCGAGAGUUCAUAACGUGAUCCAGGGAUCUGAUGCAACCACCCCCCAUUGUCAGUGUCCAGUUGGUCAUCAAAAUGCCGGGAUCUCUUGCAAGGUUCAUCAACACUUGGUAAGUUUUCACUCCAGGGGUAGAUCCUACGUCGGGCCUUUUGGUCCUGGCUAUGUCUCAAGAAAAGCCGAGGCCAGCGCCUUAACUGUUCGCGAUUUUUGAAGAGAAUGUCCAGCUUAUUCAUAAGUGUUAUGAAAAUUGGAUAAUCCACCCAUUUAAAACUAAACACAGGAAUAAAAAAGUUGACAUCUUUGCUUGCUCUGGAUUCUACUGGAGAAUUGACAGACUUUGUAGCAUUACACGCAUCAUAAACUUCACAGGCUAAAAUUGUCACUUUGUUGUCAGGGCUAUAGUCCAUUGAAGCAAUUCUUAAAGCCUUGAGAUCACUGCGGCCGAGGACCUGUUCUUCCAACGCAUAGCCUGGCACAGCUGUACCACUCAGGACCUGUUCAAUUUUACAAAGAGCCAGCCUGAUGUUUAGCCAUUCUCUCAUACCCAGAGCAGGAGAAAAACUCCCAGGUUUUGCCUGAUAAACGGGUUUGGGGCCACUGGCGUUGAAGAUCUUUACCGUAGAAUCCUCCGGCUGGAAUAUGUAAGACAUGUGGCCCUCACUCGUACCCAAAAAUCCUUUAAAACAUUCUGGAGCUUCACACAGAACUUCCUCAAUGCUUUGGUCACUGGGUUCAUGACAAGCCGCGCAUAACAUACCAUAAAUUGGCAUAUGUGUCAUUUUUGUUUAAUAUUCAGGGGGUUUAUCUUGUACAGUCUUAAACAUACAUUGUUCUGGGGCUUUAUAAGGCUUCUGCAAAGCCAGCCUCUUUGAAAUGUUCAUUAACAACCCCCAACACUAGACAUCCAGGAACAGGUUGACAUGACACCUUGUCACUUACUCAACCCAAAAAGCCCCCCUAACCAUCAGGAUGUCCUGACCUGAAGCCCAAAUAUGGGCAUGCCCCCCUUCUACACGCCAUUGGGGCAUCAAUCACUACAUAGGGUCAUAAAUCAUGAUCUUUUUUGAUUUACGACGUUGACACCUGGUCACUUACCCCAAAGACCCCCACCUAACCAUCAGGAUGUCCUGACCGGAAGCCCAAAUAUGGGCAUGCCUGCUACAACAGGACAUAGGGUCAUAAAUCAUUACAUAGGGUCAUAAAUCAGGCUUGGGUCAUAAAUCAUUACCGGUUGACCUGACAACUGGACCCUUACCCAAAGACCCCCACCUAACCACCAGGAUGUCCUGACAGGCAGCCCCAAAUAUGUGCAGGCCUCCUACAACAGGACAUAGGGGUCACAUAGCGGUCACAUAGGCUUACAUAGGGUCAUCCAUCAAAUUUU